AAGUCGUAACAAGGUUUCCGUAGGUGAACCUGCGGAAGGAUCAUUUCCGAAAACAACUCUUACAAACCAAUCUUGUGGAAUGUUUUGGGUUUUUUACUCUAGAAGGUGGGGUUUAGUUGCACUAAUAGUGACAACAGUGGUGCCAGUGGGCACAUCGAGCUGUUGCCCGCCUAUUACGCAAUGCUUGACGCCCCGCUCUUCUAGAGGCCAUGAUGAACUACCUUCGGGUUGAUAGUAUCGUUUUUCUAUUCUUUGUUGUCUCGCGACAGCAAAACAAAAAACAAAUGAUACGACAACUUUUAACGGUGGAUCUCUUGGCUCGU
rnacentral:misc_RNA from 1 species